CGAACGGGUGAGUAACGCGUGAGGAACCUGCCUCAAAGAGGGGGACAACAGUUAGAAAUGACUGCUAAUACCGCAUAAGCGCACAGUGCUGCAUGGCACAGUGUGAAAAACUCCGGUGGUAUGAGAUGGACCCGCGUCUGAUUAGCUAGUUGGCGGGGUAACGGCCCACCAAACCGACGAUGGAUAGGGGUUCUGAGAGGAAGGUCCCCCACAUUGGUACUGAGACACGGACCAA
rnacentral:rRNA from 1 species